AUUGAACGCUGGCGGCAGGCCUAACACAUGCAAGUCGAACGAGUGGCGGACGGGUGAGGAAUGUCUGGGAAACUGCCUGAUGGAGGGGGAUAACUAAUGGAAACGGUAGCUAAUAACGCAUACCAUAGGAUGUGCCCCAAUGGGAUUAGCUAGUAGGUGGGGUAAAGGCUCACCUAGGCGACGAUCCCUAGCUGGUCUGAGAGGAUGACCGGGAAGGCUGGAACUGAGACACGGUCCAGACGGGGGAGGGGGGGGGGGGGGGGGAGGAGUGCACGGGGGGCGCAAGCCUGAGGGAGCCAUGCCGCGUGUGUGAAUGAGACCUUCGUGUGUGACAGUACGUUCAGCGGGGAGGCGUUCCCCGCCCAAGAAGCACCGGCUAACUCCGUGCCAGCAGCCGCGGUAAUUC
rnacentral:rRNA from 1 species